rnacentral:lncRNA from 1 species
AGGAUUCCUGCAGAGGUCCAAAGAAGUCAUCAGAUCUCCUGGAACUGAAGGGACACAUAGUUUGGAGACAACUAAGGGAUGCUAAGAACUGCAUACAAGUGUCUUUAAGAUAAGCAAGUACUACUCAUCACUGGGGCAUCUCUUCAAUGCUCCUCUUAUCCCAUUUUCACACUCCCUGGAACUCCUCACUAAUCUUACCUCAAUUCCUCCAAAUGAUACAUGGUCUUUUGCUACAGUUUUUCUCUCUACUUUACAGGAUUUUUUGCUUUUGCUUUUAGCUUAUCAGUUAGACAACCAUAUAAGAAAAGCAUUCUUACUUUUCGUAGAAAAAAAGCUUACAUCUGCCAAAGGAUAAACAUGAAGCAAAGACAAAAUAGCAUGGCAAUUGUCUCUUUCUCUGAGGAUUUCACUUUCCUCCAUGAAAUGUGAAACUUAAUCAAACAGAGUUCACACACAUGAAGAGUUGUUUCCCAGUAACUCUGAGGAGGAGCAAGGAAGACUGCAAGAUAAUUAUGCCGACCCACAGAAUCCAGACUGAUGUACUUUUACAAAAGGAGGUCUUUAAAAAAAAAGUCCUGACAACACGGUCGAGGCAAGAAAUCCAGUCACAGAAUUCAGUGUCAACAAACCAUGAAAUAACUGUUUGCCCACAUGUGCUCUUCUUGAACUAAGGAGAAAUGUUUCUGAUGUAAGUGAGCAAUCAUAACUAUUCAAAAACUGC